UUCUGGUGGCGACCGGCGCACGGGUGCGGAACGCGUAUGGAACCUGCCCCUGUCAGGGGAAUAGCCCAGGGAAACUUGGAUUAAUGCCCCAUGGUACCGCGAUAUCGCAUGAUAUUGCGGUUAAAGAUUUAUCGGACAGGGAUGGCCAUGCGUACCAUUAGUUAGUUGGUGGGGUAACGGCCCACCAAGGCAGCGAUGGUUAGGGGCCCUGAGAGGGGGAUCCCCCACACUGGUACUGAGACACGGACCAGACUCCUACGGGAGGCAGCAGUGAGGAAUAUUGGACAAUGGGCGGGAGCCUGAUCCAGCCAUGCCGCGUGCAGGAUGACGGCCCUAUGGGUUGUAAACUGCUUUUAUACGGGAAGAAAUGCGCCCACGUGUGGGCGUCUGACGGUACCGUAAGAAUAAGGACCGGCUAACUCCGUGCCAGCAGCCGCGGUAAUACGGAGGGUCCGAGCGUUAUCCGGAAUCAUUGGGUUUAAAGGGUCCGUAGGCGGGCCUGUAAGUCAGGGGUGAAAGUUUGUGGCUCAACCAUAAAAUUGCCUUUGAUACUGCAGGUCUUGAGUCAUGGUGGGGUCGCCGGAACAUGUGGUGUAGCGGUGAAAUGCAUAGAUAUCACAUAGAACACCGAUCG
rnacentral:rRNA from 1 species